AUAGGAGGAAGAGGCAAGCGGUGGCUUUGUUGUUUUCCAUCAUCAGGCCAGCUUGUCUGCGACUCAAUGGGUGCACCUCCUGCUCUAGGAUGAAUAGGGGUGACAGCACCACUUUGGAUUCUGGAGCUGGGGCCUGGGCUAGUCAUUCUGGGACUAGGUAUUGGUGAAUAUUCUGGGCUACCCCUGCUUUGUAACUGUUGCCAAAAUAACUGUCCUGACAUAUCACCUCCCAUCGAAUUAUUCCCAGAAUUUUGACCAGAACCUGGACUAGAGCAGUGGCCAGAGCCAAGUAAUGUGACAUCUGCAUAAGGCUUCCCAGACCAGAAAGCAGAAUUCACGACUUGCUCACUACCAAAUGCUCUCAGUGGACUUCUGGAGGGACUUGACAACGAGCUGUCAGGAGCACUGCUGAAAGCACCAUGAUACGGAACCUGUAGAUUUGGCACAUGACCACUUAAACGUCUUUGUUUGGGUGAUGGGGAGAGACGAUUACUCAAUGAAAGAUUUGCCGGUUUUUUUUCCUCUCUUGAACUUGUUUGAGAGGCAUUGGAAAGAUGAUCCUUGGGCAUCACACUUCAGGGGUGGAAAGAAAGAUGGAGUCAAUUGAUCAGGAAUAAGUAGAUAUAAUAAAACAUCAAUAACAUGUGAACACAAAUUUCCCAUACAUUUACAUUUUUAUCCAUUGUCAAAGCAUCGAGUUUAAUGAGUUACGAGCAGGCUAACCUGGAAGGGCUGCUUGCAGCUGUUCUAGUCCCAUUGUCAUAGUCAUUUGCCAGCGGACUGCGAUGACGGGAGUCAGCUUGAUCAUCACUAUCAAUGGAGCUCUCACUGGAAAUAGAGGCGGUGAUCAAAUCUCCAUCCAAGUCAGCAGGAUUUGCCCUACUACGUAUGCAUGCCGGUCUUGGAAGAGGUAAAAACAAUGAAGACUUGGAACCUUUUUCCAGUUUUGGCUUAGUGGAGAUACUAAUUUCAGAAGCUGUACGACUUACAGCUGCAGAGCGCAAACCAGGAAGUGGAAGUGGUUGAGCAUUGGACCUUUCAACAAAACUUUGACUCCUCCCUACUUGCUUGGAAGGGGAAGUUGAUCUAGAUUCUGCUCGGGACUGGGAUCCUAGCUCCGAAACUGUAUCAUUGCAAGGUCUGCGAGACCCUCCUGAUUUACUGCUUGCUUUACCUUCACAUGUGAUCUUAAUUUUUUGAUGUAUUGUGCAAAUUAUACCAUCCUUACUUGCUUUUUUCUUCGACGAUGACUUUCCCCACCAAGAACGCAUUUUUCUUAUUCUUCAAUAUUUACCAAAAAAAGAAUAAAGCAGCUGGAAAUUUCUUCUAAGGCAAUUCCAUUUCUAAAACCAACAACCAAUCGUGCAACACUUUAUUCUAAAAUUCUAAAACCUGAACAAAAAAAACAAUGAAAAAUAUAACAUGGUCAAUAAUUAGCAAGACUGUGUCUAUGUCACUGUCAACUCCAAAAUCAAAUUAAACAAAAGUGAGAAAAAUUGCAUGUCUGAAUGUUAUACUGAACCAAUGAACUGAUCAAAAAAAAAAAAAAAAAAACCUCACAGGCAAUAUGAAAAGUCAAAAUUAGUCAGCCAAUUUUGACUGAUUAGCAAAGCUACCUCAUCCAACAACCUCAAAAAAGGAACCACAUUUUUACACUUAAAACCGCGUAAAUUAAGCACGUCUUGUACGUGCAUUAUAUAUAAUCACAACGCAAAUCAUAUUAGUUCAAAUUUCUAACUACAUAUAGGAACUGGCAAAAUAAACACGUGCGCUAAAAAUAAAAUCUGAAAUUCAUUCACUAAAAAUAACUGGAUUUUUCUCAAAUGAACUAAACAGAGUUUUACGAUCUUUAACUUAGUUCAAAACGACGGCGUUAAUAGACAGAUCUCAGCACAGGCUAAAAAUAAAGACAUAAAAAAGAAUACUAAUAAUAAUAACAAAAAAUUGUACUCACCGGCACAUGUUUUAACGGCAGUUUGAAUCUGAAGUGAAGAAGAAACGUACGUCUGAGAGAUUAGUUGCGUAAUGUUGAGAUGAGAACUGGUUGAAUGUAAUCGUGGAGAAAUGAAAGAACCCUAGUCAAAACGGCAGCGUAUUGAGGGAUUCCUUUGCAAGAAGAAUUUUGUUGUUGUUGAGUUCAAAGAGAGAGAUCGCGAAAAAAGAAGACAGAGAUUGAUAGAAAUGUAGAGAGAGAAAGAGAAGGAAAGGGAAGAGAGAGAGAGUAUGUCUGAGCCCAAGACAUGGAGUUGUCUGUGCGUUGAUUUUACAAUUAUUAAAAAAAAUACAUAUAUAUAUAUAUAUUAAAAUUAUAUUAUAUUAUAAUUAUUAAAAAGUAAUGAUGGUGAUUGCCGCAUUGGUAAAUUUCCGAGUACAGUACACAUGCAUUAAAAAAAAUUAAAAAAAAGCAAUAUUCUUCUGCUGUACGGCCAAGGCGGAUGUACGGUACAGCAGGAAAAAAAUCUUUAGGGGAGAUGGACUGAUGGAGCAUGCCACGUCAUCAUGCUGCUAAUUAUAAAUUUAUUAUGUAAUAAAUAUAAUAUGCGUCAAGAUGUCAUCUAAAAUAAUAAUAAUAAUAGAUAAUAUUAUGUACUGUAUUAAUAUUAUGUUCUGUAUUUGAUUAUUGCCAGAUUUUUCUUUAUUUGAAAGUGACUUUUUUUUGGUAAUUAUAAUUUUUUAUUUUACCGUUAUAGUAUAUUUUAGUUUAUUUAAUGACUUGCGUGGUCGAUCUUACUAAGAUUUUAAAAUUUUUCUUUAAAUUUAAUGUAAUGUUUUAGUGAUAUUACUCACUUAAUGUUUUUCUAUUUAAUAUUGUACGUUAGUUUUAUUGAUUCCAAUGAUGACAUGACAUAAUUCAUCUCACCUAAGAUUUUUCUAACAUUUUUUUUUAAUUUUUAGGCAUUGUUUUGAACGAUGAUCAUCCACCGUUGGGUGACUUGAAAUAAAUGACUCAAUAUUUGUAUUAAAAUUAUAAAUGAAGAGUUUAAAUUAAAAUAGCACCAUCCUUUAAAAAUAUAGCAAAAUAUUGAUGAUAAUUCGAAUUUAUUAAGAGAUUAAUGAAAAUGUGAAACUGAAUAGUAUGAAAUCGCAGUCAAUAGAUUGGAUUUUAUUUAGAAAUUAUUUUUUAUUUGUAAUAAGUCAUUUUCUAAGUUUUAUUUUUAUUUCACGAGUUUGCAAGGAUUCUAUUAUAGGCAAGACAUUUUAGGGGGCCCAUAUAAUUUUUAAAAACAAUAGUUCUUGAGUUUAAUUUUGGAGAUCUAAAUUUAAUUGCGUAAAUUAUUCACAUCUAAUUAUAUUAUAUUUAAAUUUAAUGAUAAAUGUACAUUUAAUCAAUGAAAUUUAUAUUGCUAGCGGGUUAUAGACUCUCAUGUGAUAGGAUAGCCUCAUUUUAAUCAAUAACUGAGAGAUAAAUCAUUAAAAUACUUUAUUUAAUAUAUAUUUUUGUAAUUUGUUGAGAGCUUUAUCAAAUAAUCAGAAUCUCUUGUUCAUGAUAAAUUCUCAUUUUAAUUUUUUGAAUUAAGUAUUUAGCAUAUGUGGAACGUGAAACAUAAUUAAUUUUGUAUUUCCAUGAAAAACGUUACCCAACAAAAAGUCUCUACACAAAAAUGUUUUCAAUUACAUCCCAAAAAGUAAAAAAAAAAAAAAAUCUCAAAUUGCUUUCCAUUUCAAAAAAAAAAAAAAACAUUUUAGUGGCAUUUUGAGGUUAGUUGACCUUUGUGUUGGGUCCAACUUUUAGCCAAAGGUUCUGUACACUUAAAAGUCUAGUGUUAAUAAAAACGAGUUUGACUUAAGAGUUGACUUUAAUGUAGUCAUCUAAAUUCUAGCUACCGAGCGAUAUAUGUAUAUACAUGCUUAUUGUUACAUAGACCAAAUUCUUAUAACUUAAAAUGAAAAAUCUAUAAAAAAAAAAAGGAAAAAUUCCCUUAAUUUUAAUUUCUUUUAAAUACAAUAAGUGAAUAAUAAAUAAAAUCAUCAACAUAUUAAUUUUAAUUUAUAUUUAUGAUUGUACAAGCAAAGCAAAGCAAAAGUUAAAACGAAGGUGAGCGUCAUUGGAAAUGAAAGAAUAAAGUGGCCUAACUCACGGAAGCAAGCAAGCAUAAUUCGAAUUUAUUAAGAGAUUAAUGAAAAUGUGAAACUGAAUAGUAUGAAAUCGCAGUCAAUAGAUUGGAUUUUAUUUAGAAAUUAUUUUUUAUUUGUAAUAAGUCAUUUUCUAAGUUUUAUUUUUAUUUCACGAGUUUGCAAGGAUUCUAUUAUAGGCAAGACAUUUUAGGGGGCCCAUAUAAUUUUUAAAAACAAUAGUUCUUGAGUUUAAUUUUGGAGAUCUAAAUUUAAUUGCGUAAAUUAUUCACAUCUAAUUAUAUUAUAUUUAAAUUUAAUGAUAAAUGUACAUUUAAUCAAUGAAAUUUAUAUUGCUAGCGGGUUAUAGACUCUCAUGUGAUAGGAUAGCCUCAUUUUAAUCAAUAACUGAGAGAUAAAUCAUUAAAAUACUUUAUUUAAUAUAUAUUUUUGUAAUUUGUUGAGAGCUUUAUCAAAUAAUCAGAAUCUCUUGUUCAUGAUAAAUUCUCAUUUUAAUUUUUUGAAUUAAGUAUUUAGCAUAUGUGGAACGUGAAACAUAAUUAAUUUUGUAUUUCCAUGAAAAACGUUACCCAACAAAAAGUCUCUACACAAAAAUGUUUUCAAUUACAUCCCAAAAAGUAAAAAAAAAAAAAAAUCUCAAAUUGCUUUCCAUUUCAAAAAAAAAAAAAAACAUUUUAGUGGCAUUUUGAGGUUAGUUGACCUUUGUGUUGGGUCCAACUUUUAGCCAAAGGUUCUGUACACUUAAAAGUCUAGUGUUAAUAAAAACGAGUUUGACUUAAGAGUUGACUUUAAUGUAGUCAUCUAAAUUCUAGCUACCGAGCGAUAUAUGUAUAUACAUGCUUAUUGUUACAUAGACCAAAUUCUUAUAACUUAAAAUGAAAAAUCUAUAAAAAAAAAAAGGAAAAAUUCCCUUAAUUUUAAUUUCUUUUAAAUACAAUAAGUGAAUAAUAAAUAAAAUCAUCAACAUAUUAAUUUUAAUUUAUAUUUAUGAUUGUACAAGCAAAGCAAAGCAAAAGUUAAAACGAAGGUGAGCGUCAUUGGAAAUGAAAGAAUAAAGUGGCCUAACUCACGGAAGCAAGCAAGCUAGGGAUGGCAAUUUUCGGGUCCGGGUCCGGGUUUGGCUGUUCCGGAUCCGGACCCGGACACAAAAUUUUCAUAACCGGACCCGCAUUAAACCCGGGUUUUUUAAAUUCGACUCCGGUCCGGGUUCAACCCGGAAAAAUCUGGGUUUUCGGAUUCCGAGUUUUGAACCCGGAUUGCUUUUUUUUUUUUUUUAGAGACCAUAUAACUUAUUUUAACAAGGCACAGGGGAUGGGGUUUAAUGUUUUAAUCUUUUCCCCAACAACACAUUACACAAUUCUUCCUAGAAUUGGUUCAAUAAAAUUUGAUGGAUAAAAGGCAAAAAAAAAGAACAUAUAACACAUCAGUGACAUCACUAGACUACUAGAACCAAAUUGUUUAACUUUGGUUCAUCAAAAUUUGCUGGACACAAGGCCAAAUAACAGAACAUAAUAACACAUCCAGCUUCUAAAACAAAUACAACACAAAUACACAAUAUAAAAUCUAAAAUUCAAAGUUUUAAAGUAAUAAACAUCCACAAAUACAAAUUCAUAACAUAAUUCUAUAAUUUAAAGCUGAAAUUUCCAGCCACUGCCCACUAGUGCUCAGAUUUCUAGCCACUGACCACAGCCCACCAAUGCUCAAAUUUCCAGCCACUGCCCACUAGUGCUCAGAUUUCCAGCCACUGCCCACAGCCCACCAGUGCUCAAAAAAGUGCCUGCGACAAAUUUGCAGAUAUCCUAAACAAUUCUUACUGCAUUGGCAGAUUAUUCUAAAUUUCUAAUCGAGGAAAAGGAUCAGGAGUGUACAAUACUAACUGGAAAGAGUCAUUACUCUUCAAGCAACUCAGUAUACACAAGUAGUAAAAGCACAUGACAAGGUCGAACCCCAUUUUCAGUGAGAGAAAGCAGAAGCAAGCAAAACAGAGUAUUAAUGCUAGUCAGGCUCAGAACUACCAUUCAUGCAGCUAGCCAUAGGCAGCAGCCCUUUGGCUAAUUAUACUUCAAAUUCAAUUCUAAGCUUACUCACUAACCAACUCUUAAUGCACAAAACCAACAAUACGCGGCAGAAGAAAAAUGGCAACUGUUCUGUUUUAGACAACAAUUUCUCCUUGUGCCAGAAAAACAAAGAACAAAAAGAGGCAAAUAAUUCAGAAAAACAAAAAGCUUAUAAUUAGUCAAGUGCUCUCAUAUGUCAUAUACAAAGAAAACCAUGUCUGAGGAAAAAUCAAAUUGUGCCAGCAGCAAUACAAGCUCAAAGCAUAACAGCACAAAAAUUGCAAAGAGGGAAAAUCAAAGUGUAAUAGAGCAUAAAUUGUAAAGAGAAAAGCCGAGACUCACAAAUAUUCACAGCAGCAGCUGAAGUAUAUGCUGAUGAACACAGAACACAGCAGCGAGACUGAGGUGGAUUUCAACCCCUUUUGCUGGCCGCGACAGAGUGAGAGAUCAGACGAGUGAUGAAACGAACAAAGCCUCGCCGUGAAGGUGAUGACAAGCCACGACGCGAAGGAUCUGAUCUGAUCUGAAGAAUAGAUUAUAGGAGAGUUGCAGAGAGAGUGAGAGAGAUUAAGUGACGAUGGAGGACUGAGAUGAGCAAUGAGUCACGGUUCACGGGUGAGAGAGAUUGAGAGAGGAACGGAUUACGGUUUACGGAUGAGACUUGAGAGAUUGAAAGGAGAAAUUACAGAUUUACAAUAAUUUUUUUUAGGUUGAAGGAGAAAUUUCGAGAGAGGAUUAGAGGAACGAGACGAGAGAGAUCUAGAUUCUAGGGUUUCACUUUUGUUUUCGUUUUUUUUUUAAUUUUUCUAUUUAUAAUUACGGAUUUACGGAUCAAAAUUAAUAUUAAAAUAAAUAAUAUCCGGGUCCGGGUUCCAGAUUUACGGGUUCACCUGAAAUCGGAUCCGGACCAGAAAAAUACGGAUUGUCAAAAACUGAUCCGGAUUUCGGAUAAAAACUAUACCGGUGCGGGUUGAACCCAGACCAGAUUUUUCGGGUUCAAUCCGGGUCCGAUCCGGGUUCGGAUUUGAUUGCCACCCCUAAAGCAAGCCAGCAAGCAGCAAGGGGAGAUGAAUCACUCUUGCACGUGCCAUGCACGUCCCCCGCCCCAUUUCACUUUCUUAUCAUGUCUCUUGGCAACUUAUGAUUGGCUUCUCUUUUUAUUUUCCUUUUUUUUUAAACCAAUAUGACAAGAAACAAGUCAAACAACACAAUGCAUAAUGUUUGUUCGUAAAACUUUAAAUGUGUUUCAUUUUCGUCCUCAUUUUUCAUGUGGAUGCUAAGCUAAUACCUAGAUUUAUUUGUUUUUUUUUUUUUUUUGGGGGGGCGCUCUUAGAAGAAUUUGGGUUUUGAAUGAAUUUAUGUCCAGAAUUUAAAAUUGAGUUUUCCAGACCAAUUUGGAUCAAUGGUUCUUGUAAGUACGAGUCCCUACUUAUUUCUUUGUGAAUGAAAAAAAAAAAAUUAAUUCUUACUAUCAAUUUGGGUGUUCUAAUGUACUCUAUUAACUUUAAAAUGUUAUAUCAUUGUACACGAAUAUGAAAAUGACUCCUUAAGAAUUGAUUCAAUGUUCAAGAAUGACUUUAGUGAUGUUGGACCGCCAAAAAAAAAAAAAAAAUGAAAAGGAAAAUAGAAUUUGAUAUGAUAGAAAUUCCUUAUCUCUUUCCAUUAAAAUUCGCGUUUUUAUUUUUUAUUUUAUUUUUUUAUUGUUUAAUAAUUGUUCUCAACAUGUUCUUUUAAAAUCUUUAUUAUUAUUAUAAAUAUUAUUCCUCCAUUCCUUGACAAUGACCCAUUUAGAAUGAAAUCAAUGGUCUAAUUUCAUCUUCAUGGCUGCAUGCCAAGAAUGUUUCAAGUUUUUAAAGAUAUAAAUGAUGGGGCAGGACCAAAAAAAAUUGAAUGUUUCCACCCACAAUUUUUUGAAGUUCGAUUGACGGAGAAGAUGAACAAAAAGCCAAAAAAAAAUUACAUGCGGAUCCGUGGUUUUAUUGAUGAAAACACAAAUACUAUACGUGCGUGUAAAUAUUUUUAUAUUGUAUACACCAUGUGAUGUUGGAAAGCUCAUGCAAAGAGACAAUUUAUGAGUCAAAAUCGAUGAACUGAAAUUUUUGAAAUUUGGAGAGUUCAUGGGAAGAUACUAUAAGUCAAAGUCAAUUUCUUUCGUAAGUUUGGGUGAGUCAUAAAUUAGAAUUUAUAUUUGGCUGCUUUACGUCAAUGUGAUCUUUGACUAUGGGGACAAGCUAUACUGGGCCUGGCUAUUGGGCUCUGAGUGUAUUGUCAUAUAAUUUGUUGGAUCCAGCAACUAGAAAGACCAGUACAAGUAACUAGAAGUGGACUGCACCGCUAGACUUUAAUAUGACUUAUCAUGAAAAAGGCAAAAAUGACUUGUCAUGCAUGUAUGAUUUCGUGUUGGGCAAAUUACUUAUUUGUCAAUUUAUUCUUUAUUGGAAGAGGAUUAAUAUUGGGGAAGCGAAUAGAUUAAAGCAGCAAACAAAAAUUAAAAUGAGAUAUUUUUUUUUCUCCAUAUUCAUCUGCAAUCUAAUGAUUGCUUAUUACAUUUUAAUUAUUUGUCUGAAUAAACGAGAUUAGAACACUUAAAUCUAACGAUUCACAACAACCUCACUACAAUGUUACAAAAAAAAAAAAAAAAAAAUACAUACAGCAUCAUAUAAAAAUCUUUUAUUUUUUUUUCCUUUUUGGGGUAAGGUAGGUACUGAACCAGCUUUGUUUGAACAAAAUCUUGGCCUAUGUACAAGCGAAAAGAAAGGUACAGACGUACAGUUCAUUAUUGAAGCCUUGCUGGAAAAUUCCCGCCUUCUCUCAAGCAAAAAAUAUAUACAUUUUCUGCUUAGAAAUAACAGUAUUAUCUUAUCAAUGGCAAACCAAUAGCUGUGACUAUCAGAGUUGAGGGUACUCCGAAUUUAAGAUGAUUCCAGAAAGAUAAGGUGUACCCAAGAUGUGGAGCACGGUGGGCUUGCUCGCAUACUAUCAAGUUGGCGGCUGAUCCCACUAGUGAGAGGUUCCCGGCUACCGUGCUGACCCAAGCUAAAAUGAGCCAUGCCUUCUUCUCGUCGGCAGCAGAAAUUGCAGCUGCUGAUGCUGCCACACGGCCUCCGAGCAGGAGAACUAAGAUAAUACAAACGGGUUAUUUAACUAGCUUCUGGGACAGGUGAAUAGUCCAUUCAAUAUGAGAAUAGAUGGUUUACACUUAUAACAGUUUUGGUAUGUAUCCAAAUGAAUAACUAAACAUAUAUUUAAAGGAAAUAUUAGAUAUUUUCAUGUAGAAAUGUUCGGUAAAUCCUUUUUCAUACUGGCAGAGAGAUACAGAUCAGAAGAAGCAUGCACCAGAAUAACCUUCUAAAAAAAAUUUCUUGCAUUCCAUUCCACAGCAUCAUGAAUUUCAGCAAAUUUACUACAAUGUGAAUGAUUAAAGAUCAUUUACUUAUUUAUUUAUUUAUUAUUUUUAGUCAGGUAUACGUGAGACCCAACAAACUUACAGGAAUUUGACAAUAAUUACAAAGUUGAAUUCAGCAAAUUGUAUGACCAGGUUUCUUGCUUUAAAAGUAAUCUUAUUGAACAGAUUUGUGCAAGAGACAACAUCAACAUACCAGUUGGAACAUUGGAAGCCAAAUUUGACAGGACUAGUAUGACAGCAGCGAGAACUGCUAUGCCUCCAACGUGAUCAAUCUCUGCAUAGGGCUCCAUGAAUUCCCACAGAGCACUUGGAAUUCCAGUUUUAUUGAAACCAUCGACUGUGAUGAACAUUCCACAGAAGAAAAUUAGAAGCGAAUAGGACACCUGGUCAAAAGGAAGAAGAAAAUUUCAAUUAAUAUAUAUGAUGCAAAAGCAGUUAACAUUAAACCUAUCAUGUGAUACGCUUUUAAAAUAUACAAACUUCAUGCGGACAAGAAAGGAAGAAGAACCAUUCUGAUAGCAGAUUUUACCUUUUCGAGACUUGGUCGAGCAUCCUUGAAAUCAAGAACCACAAGAGCAAGUGCAGCAGUAAUUGCUGUCCAGGACAUGUUGAGACCCAUAAGUAGGGAAACUAACAUGCCUAGGGUAAUAAGGUAAACACAAGAUUUCCACAAAACUCUUUUCCACUCACUACUCAAACUUUCCUUUCCCCGUGACAAUUGCCGUAAAAGAACAUUGACCAAUGUAAUUACUGAUCCAAUUCCUCUUGAAGGGACAGUUUCCUCCCUUCUCUGAGAACCUCCAUCAGUUGACACCUCUUUUGAUUCAUUUGUAAUCCUAGCAGACUCAAAUGUACCACUAGAUACCCUGUUGAUCUCAUUCUCAACUAAACUAGUUCGGUUUCUUAGAGUCUCAGCAUGACUUCCGUUUCCAUUUACAUUUGGAGAGUUUUGAAGACUCAUAGAUUCCAAUCUAGAGUUCCACUCCUGAGAGUUUAACGAUGUAAAAUGAGACAUUGUGGCUGGUGAGAAUCGAUGAGAAGUCACAUCCUCUUCUGCAACAACUUCUGCAGUUGCAUCUUCUUCAUCCUUAUGAGAAUUUAACAAUUUCCAGUACAUGGUAAGAAGAAUUAGAGCAUUCACAGCAACUCCCACGAACAUUGCAGGGAGGAUUCCAAUUAGAAACUUCCCGAAUGGGAUCUUGCUUUGAACGGCUAUAACCAGGUUCUGGGGGUUGCCAAUUGGAGUUGCUGAUGACCCAAUAUUAGCACUUGAUGCAAGGGCAAGGAGAAAUGGAUGAGGGGGAAGAUUAUGCUGCCUUGCAAUUUUCAAUACAAAUUCAGUCAAGACCACACAAGAGGUAUCGUUGGUGAAAAGAGCACUUGAAAUGGCUGAAAUCAAGCAGAUUCGACAAAGUAAGUCCUUUGGUCCUCUGCUCUUCCACGAGAGCAUCCUCCCCAAAUAUUUGAACAUAUCUGCACUUUCCAGAUAUACGCUGACAACCAUUGUUCCAAAGAGAAGUCCAAGAAUAGGGAGAUCAAUUGCAGCAUAGGCUUGAUCAGGGGUUAUGACUUGGAAAAUGACCAUAAGCAUAGCCCCAAGGAGGGAUCCUGCAGUCCUCCCUAUUGGUAGAAAAGGGACAGCUGGGAAAACUGCCAUUACCCAAAAGAUUGCAAACGCUAUCGAGCCCAGAACCACCUUUACUGUGGAUGCCAUCGCCAUUUUUCAAGCUCAAAUAAGUCGAUAAUCUUACACUUACGCAAAUAGCCAAAGUCUCAAAACAUUAAUCAUUUGAACGCCUUAGCUUGUACCAUAACCAUUUCUUAUGAAAAAGAAUUUGCAAAGUGAAGUAACCAGCACAGAAAUAUGCUCAUUGAAUGAAAAUUCACCAACCGGCCCUUGACACAUACAUUCAAGGCAAAACUAAGGAACUCAAAACAGCCCGUUGAAAUUUUAGUUUACCAGUAAUCAAACAGCUAGAGUGCGACUAGUGAGCCGGACAAUUACACUGCAAUUUGGCACAUUAACAGCUCAGAAAAAGCCAAAAACUGAUAAUCCACAAAUCAAAGAAAACAAUCAAUCAAGCAUCAAUAAAAAUUCAAACGUUUCUGUUUACUACCACUUGUCUUUGUCGCAAGAAUUAUCUCAAAUUCCAAACAAGCAACAUUAAUUGAAUUUUUCAUUACAAUGAAUCAACGUUAUUAAAAAAAAAAAAAACCAGAAGAAUACAAUGCAAGACUUUUUACGUUACAGCCCGAUAUGAAUAUAAAAAACAACAGCCACAACUGCUGCUAUCUCUAUGGCCAUUAUAGUGAGCAUUAAAUCAAAAUCUGAAUGAAAUUCAUGAUACCCAGAUGCAAUAAAACAGUGAAAUGAACAUACAACUAACCUCACCUUGUAUAAAAACCCUCCAUGAAUUAAAAAUUUAACCUGCAAAGCAAAACUGGACCUUCAAAAUAUUUUUUUAGAAAAAAAGAAAAAAGAAAAAUUGACUUAUCUGCAUGAAAAGUUCAAAACCUUUUUCAUGAUAAUGUAAUUGGAUGGCUUAGAUUUAGGAAGUUUUUUAUCAGUCACAGAACGGAGAAAAGUGGGUCAUAAUUGCAUAAACUGACAUAAAUGGAUCUUUUGCUGUAUGCGUCUGACGGGUACUUUCCCGUGACACGCCACAUGGCCACUCAUCACGAGCUAUUGCCAUAUAUAAACCCAAAAUUGCGUAAAAGUUAUUUCUUUUUUACAGUUCUUUGUCGCGGCAGUGAACCCUGAACGGUGAGCGGCGAGUAUAUAUAUUAUCUAGGAUCGCAUCCCAUUCACUUCACUUCAGUUUUUUCCUGCUGAGAGGACGUCACUUCAGAUCAUACGGGAAUAAAAUAUAGUUUCAGUGACUUUGAACAUGAUCGGAAUAUAUAAUAAAUUAAUUAUUUUUUUGAGCAUUUAUCCAGUCGCCCACCUGAUUAUUAUUAUUAUUCUAUAAAUUUAACUAAUCUAUUUGUCCCAAAAAUAUUUUUAUGAUAUUGAAUUUCAUCUUUUCGACCAUUCCAGUCGUUAGUAAAUUUAUUUUUUAAAAUCUUUUUUCAAAAAAAAAAAGAUUGUAAUUAUGCACGAGUCUACAGUGUAAUUGGUUCUUGUAUCAACUAUCAAGGAAAAGAAAUUCGAAAAGAUUUUUCUCUGCAAAAGAAAAAGAGAGUGUUCUAUGGUCUCUAUUUCCGGCAUGGCAUGAUUUAAGAUUUAUUAUGCACCCACAUGCGAGAAGGAGAUAAUUGAGGAUGGUAAAGAAAGACUAUAACUGUCUUCUCUAGAUCGGUAUUUGAAAAUAGUAGAAAAGAUUAAGUCAUUUUCUCCUAAUCCUUAACAAGAAUUUGCAAUAUUCCUCAAACUAUGCAUAUCUCAAACUAUGCAUAUAAACAUAAUCAAGUUGCAAUAUUCCUCAAACUAUGCAUAUAAACAUAAUCAAGAAAAAAAAAAAAUCAUGACUUUCGCUUGAUUAUGGAAAAAUAUUUUUCAUCAUAUGAUCAACCAACAAUAUAUUACAUGCAUAGACUACCCAUAAGAGAUCUCUCAAUAAAUGUCAAACUAUAGACUACACCAUAGCAUAACUAUUUAGGCAACACUAUGACAUGUCCUUAAGGAUGCGUUGGGUAGCUUGCAUUACAUUGUGUUGCAUUGCAUUAAAAAUUUGUUCUUAUGUUAACCCAUGUCUGGUUGAAAUUUCGAGUUGUAUUGUACUACAUUAAAAAAGUGGCUAAUGCAAUGGUAGGGUUUAAGCUGUAUUGUAUUAACAAAAUGUUUAUAUUUUAAAUAUGAUCAUUUAGUUUUAUUAUUCUAUAAAUUAUAAAAAAUUUAAAUUUAGUAAAUAUUAAUUUAAAUUUAAAUAAAAAUAAUAAUAUAAAUAAAUAUUAAAUAACUNNNNNNNNNNNNNNNNNNNNNNNNNNNNNNNNNNNNNNNNNNNNNNNNNNNNNNNNNNNNNNNNNNNNNNNNNNNNNNNNNNNNNNNNNNNNNNNNNNNNNNNNNNNNNNNNNNNNNNNNNNNNNNNNNNNNNNNNNNNNNNNNNNNNNNNNNNNNNNNNNNNNNNNNNNNNNNNNNNNNNNNNNNNNNNNNNNNNNNNGUAAUAAAAUUAAUAUAUAAAAUAUUAUUAUUUUAUAAUACAGACCAUACUAUACCAAAAUAAUAUUGUGUUACAACUUAAUAUAAUGUACCCUAAUAAAAUACACUAUAAAAUACAAUGCAAUAAAGUAAGCUAAUCGCGUCCUAAUCCUAAAUAUACAAACACAAUCAAUCAAAUGGAUAAGAUUUUUAAUAGAUACCUAAUUAUUAAUGUAUAAUUAUGCAGUCAAUUAAUGACAGAUGAAAUUGGAUCACGAUCUCAAAUUUGAAAGGUCCGAAGCCCUUAAAAAUGUUUACAUCAAAUUUCUUAAAUGCUGCAACAACAUUGGGAUCCCAAAGCUCUUAAGAUUUUACAAAACGGGCAUAAUGUGGUCAAUUUAAGCAAAUGGGUCCCUGACUCUAUUGAAAUAGUUUGAAUAACCUUCGUGUUAAGGUACACACUCCCCAUCAAAAUUAUGCGAGAAACAUAAGAAUAAUCGAUAAUUUCAAUUGAAGAUAAGGAGUACGAAUGGGAAAUUAUAUCCUUAUUUAAAAAAAAAAUAAAUAAAAAGACUUGAAUGUAUUUAUCCCCUUCUUAAAUUUGUUUAUGGCAACGGCUCCAACAAAUAAUACAAAUGAUGUAUGACAGCACAGCACGGGCAGCAAGCACAGACCCAACCUAUUUGUUCAUAUUUCAAUGAUGCUAUCUCUUACGGAUUUGGUGGAGACAAAACUUAACUUAACUUGGAGUGCAAAAUGUUUGACUGUUGACAAUGAAAUAACAGUUAAAAAUAAUUUCAUAUACAUGUGUCAUUUUAUCACAUACAUAAUAUAUACAUAUAUAUAUAUUGUGAGAUCAUUGAUGACGAUUUUGAGCUGCUUGAUUAGAUUGCCAGACUUCAAUCAUGCCUCCCUCUCCCUUAGAUAGUUAGAUUCGACUUUUGAUUUGUAACAAACAGCUUUCAAAAGAUCCGAACCUUUUAAUGAACUAAGAUAUUAUGUGAUUUUGUUUCCUUUAAUCUUUUAAUUGUCUUGGUUAGUUUAAAAUAAUAAAAUUGCAUAUAGUGCCUCAAUAAUCUAAUGACAUCUCAUGUUAGAUUGAACGGUCGAGCAUGCAUGCAAGAGCUCGUACAAAUUACUUGAAAUUAAAAUUUAAUGUUUAUACCUAACAAGACACUUGUAUGUUAUAUGAAGGAAAAAAAAUAAAAAAUAAAAUUUUUAGUAUCCUUCUACAUGUAAAUACAAUUAUAGGUAAACACAUAAAGGGCUGGAUACAAUGCAAUGUUGGUGGAUUUUUUUUUUUAUUUUUUUUCAAGCUAUCUUCUCUUAUUUAAACAUUAUAUACGGAUGGAGCCAAUUAUGCUAAAAUUAAGUUAGCGCACGUAGAUUUUUAAUAUUUGGGAUUGUUGACAACAAUUUGUUGUUUGUCAUGCAUAAACUCUAGCGUUACGACUUUCAGGUGAUGCGUUUUUUUGUUAUACACAAAACAUGUGCCGGAACGAAAAACCUUGAAGUUGAAGCAAAACGAAUGACUAGGUCUUGACCCAUUAUAUUAAUAAUAUAGUGGAGAGUGAGAGUCUCGAGAGGAACAUGCACAUCUCUUCAUCCAUGCUAAAACACAAGUUGUGAGUUUAUCAUGAACUACUUUUAUGAAGUACUACUUUCGUAGAUAGGGCUUCAACUAAUUACAAGAAUUUGCUCGUCAUGCGUUGCGCUUAAUAAUUUAGUUGAGAGGAUUUGACUUAAAUUUUUAGGUAUCCAAUCUAAAAAUCUAAUCUAUUGUAGGGUUGGUAAUUUAUGAGUUUCAGCCGAACUUUUUCAAGCCCAUGCCUAAAGUGUUUUGAAAGCUCAUCCAGUCUUGAGCUCUUAUCAAAUUUUAAAUAAAUUUGUAAUAAAGUUAUAAACUAAAAAAAAAACUUAAAUUAUAGAUGAUUAUCCAAUAUAUGAUUAUCCAACACACAAAAUAUUAGCAACACAAUAUAAUAAACUACAAAUACUAAUAAAUAAAUAAACAAGCAAAAGAAGAAUUGUAACUUUAUAAUAUAUAUUCAAAAUUAAUAUAGAAAUUAAUUUUUUUUUACAAGAAAUGAAAUAAUCGAAACUAGAAAUUAAUGGUUAUUGGAAUCUGCUUGUUUGAGUGCUCGAGGACAAGUUUAUUCUCCAUCAAAACAAAUUUAAAUGUUGGCGAGAUAAACUGAUGAUCUCAACGUAUACGACCAGAUUUCUACAUCAAAAUUUGCUAUUGUGUUGCGUGUUGGGCUCACGACUUGCGUGGCUUCUUCUCAAAGAUCACAUGGGUUCAUUGCUGCUGCGCCACUAGUGCUAGGUUUGCUACUGUGUUGAGUGCUGGGCUUGCGACUUGCGUGGCUACCUACUGCCUACUGCAGUGAUUUUCUGACUCACAUGCUGGGCUCAUGACGAUCGCUGGCGAUAACGGCUAUGAGGCUGAGAGGGUGCGGCUGUUGGCUAUGCGGUAGGCAGUUGGUGUCUUGUGUUGUAGUACAUUUGUUUCACUUGUUUAAUUUAUGGCUAGGGAUACGGUAGCCUCAAGCCUGUUUUGAUUUUGAUUUUUUUUUUUAAUUUGAAUUAUUUUUUUAUUUUAUAUAUUAUAGAGUUUUUACUAAAGACCAUAAUCAGGCCCACUAUAUACAAACUUUAUAUCUUUUAUCCUUAAUAACGUGUCUAAGAAGGAAAAAAAUAGGACAUCCGCAUUAAAAAAAAAAUACAAAUAUUUCCUAUUGUCAUUUUUCCAAGAUCUUCCAAUUUCUGGUCUGUGGACCAAAGCACAUUCUUGGUUUUUGAUUCGUUAUUACUUCCGAGUUUUGUCUCUUGUGUUGGUUGGAUGAGGACGCUGGAGAAUGACAUGGGGCUGGCUUGUUACCUAACAAGCAUUAUCACCGCUCGGUAUGCUCAUCUUAGCCAGCCAGCAUAAAUCACACAUAAAUGACAAUGGCCUGAUAUUGUGACCUAAUUACUACAUUUAUCUCUCCACUCAAAAAUUUUCUCUUUUGACUUUUGGUCCAGAAGAGGGCUUCGGCAGCCCAACUGCAUUUAAGCUUUGCAGGGCUAUCGCAACUCCAGGAAACAUCACAGCAUCUCCAGUCAAUUUGCUCAAAACUUAUCUUCUUUGACUCUGAAUCACAGUCAUUCAUCAUGGUGGAAUAACUCAACUUAAAAAAAUUUUAUACGGUCCUAACAUAGCAACUCGAUUAAUAUCUUAGAUUUCUUCUACAAAUAACUUCAAUUUCUUAUCAGUAAGCAGAGCCAAAAGAAAAAACUUUUCACAAACAAAUCAAACGAGAUGCAUCAAGCCUCAAACUUCUCACCAAAAGGAUAUCCAAAGGCAAUAACUAAACAAACUUUGAUACUCAAAUUUUAAUUCACGACACCGAAACCAAUUAAACAUUUCAUAAAGCUCCCAACUUUCAAAGGCCAAACAACAGCAUAUAAAAACCCAAGAUCCCAUAUCCCUUUUUCUCUUAUUUUCCCUCAGUUUCUCAGCUACCAAACACAUAACCUGUGAAUAUGUGUGUGUAAAAUAAUAAUAAUAAUAAUAAUAAUAAUAAUAAAACUCUUUUUUUUUUUCCCGGACAAAACUUAUACUAAAAACAAAAUAACCCAUUAAAGAGAAGAAUAGUUACAACCCCAUAAACGAACCUGAAUCGCGGCUGGCCGGAGGCGGGACUCAGCUGAAACUAUGGCAGUUGCAGCGGCGUAAACGGUCUCGACGCUGUCGUGAACACUACUCAUCUUAUUUUCAAAUUUUCAAAACAUGAAACGACGACACAAACGAGUUGUGUAAUAACAUCUACAGCUUCCGUUUGGAUCUCCAAACGAAUUUGAAAAUAAGAUGAGUAGAGUUCACAAACGACUCAGCUCAGGGGCCAAAAUAGUUCUUUCCAAAGGUGCAGCACCCUUCACAAAAGGGUGAUCCAAAAGCUUAACUGCUGUUGGACGGUUUAAGGGAUUACGUUGCAAACACAACCUAAUAAAAUCCUUUCCUUCAUCAGAGAGGUCAUCUGGAAUUGUUGGGAGUUCCUUACUAUUCCCAAUCUUAAACAUAGCAGCAACCUGCAGAUCAUAACAUGCAACUAUCUCACACAAUGAACUGAGCUCCAACUGGACAACAUAAACUAUCAUUUUCUGUAUAAGAAAGAUGAAAAUUUAAGAUCGUUUCUGUUGCUUCAGUACUGACCCCUUCAUACUGGCUCCAAGGUGGUUUUGUUGUAGCCAUUUCCAAAACAGUGCACCCAAGACUCCAAAUAUCAACAGCAAGAUUGCAACCACUUGAGUUCUUUAUAACCUGAGUGUAAAUUUAGAUUUGAUAUCACAAUUGAGAACCAUGUUGUUAUUAAUGAGUUCAGGUACAAAAAGGAAUAAUUUCUGACCUCAGGAGCCAUCCAGUAAUGGCUUCCCUUGAAUGAUAAUGGACAUGAAUGGCCGGCAAUCUGCACAGAGCAUUUAAUGUUUCGCUAAAUUCUCGUUUAAUCAGAUGCAAUUUAUACAUUUAUUAAAAGAAAUUAUUAUGCCUAAACUUACAUGCUUUGCCAUCCCAAAAUCUGCCAGCUUGACCCGCCCAUUUGGAUCCACAAGUAUGUUUGCUCCUUUAAUGUCCCUGUAAAAUAAAUGCCCUUUAUUUAAGAAUACAAACAAUGUAUAAAUUGAGCAGAGUAGCUAAUCUGUAUAUAGCAGCUUCAAACUUAUUCAAGAAUAGGAGGAUUAUCACCUGUGGACUGUAUGCUUUGAGUGUAAGAAUGCAAGCCCAGACAAGAUUUGUUGUGUAUAAUUACGAAUUGCCGGUUCGCCAAAAUGUCCAUAAUCCUGGAGAAGUUUAUAAAUUGACCCACCAGAUACAUACUCCAGGUAUAUAUAAAGUUUGUCCUCAACCUGUUCGGGAAAAAAAAUCCAACAGUCAUAUUUGUACCAUAUGAAAAGACAAUGUCUGAAAAUAAAUAUCAACAGCUUUAAAUAACAAUUGUCACAUGCUUCAGUGAAUGGAAAUAGAACAAAAAUACUUACUGUUUUAGAUCCAUAGUAUUGCACGAUGUUUGGAUGCCGUAAGCGACUUAAUAAUACAAUUUCCUGCCACAGAACUCGAGUAAGAAUGUUUUCUUAAAGCUAUGCAUAUGUUACAAAACAAGGGAGCAAUUAAAUAAACUAUUCAAAGAAAGGAUGCAGGCAGCGGGGGGGAGGCAAAGAAACAAAAACCAUUAUCUAAUAAACUGAAAGCUGACUGUUAUACUUGGAAGUGAUCAUACCUGCAUCAGCUGCUUAGCACUCUCCUUUGACUUGGCAUCAUCAAAUAAUGUAACUUCCUUCAUUGCACACAUUUCACCACUAUCACUGGACCAGUUAAGAGGAGAAAUCAGAUACAUACAAACUUAAAUAAUGACCAACAUGUAAAAAUACCAAAACAGAUUAAAACAUCAUAUUUAAAAACCUCAGUCCUAAUGAGCCAUUUGUAAUCGAUAAUCAAGAAAAUCUGCUAACACUGAUCUCAACUACUUAGCUUGCUAAUGUACUAAAUUUGAUGGGAGGUUAAUACAAUUGUUUUGCAAGCCGUUUAUUAAUAAAAUCAAAGUGCACAUGCAUUAAAAAAAAUUUAAAAAAAGCAAUAUUCUUUGUGGCAAACCUGUUAAAACAAACAUAAACCACAAACCUGUUAAAACCAACAUAAACAUGUCCAAAUGUGCCUCUACCCAGCAUCUUUCCCUUUUUCCAGUGUGACUCGGGGCUAACUGGAUUUUCCAUUCUUCCUGGACUUCGCGGCACAGAGGGUGAUGUUGCAGCCGAAUUUGAAUGAGAAAAGGGAGAAGAAUUGGAUAUUGUUAUAGGAGGAAGAGGCAAGCGGUGGCUUUGUUGUUUUCCAUCAUCAG
rnacentral:lncRNA from 1 species